rnacentral:sRNA from 1 species
UAGUGCCGAAUCCUGUCUGACAGGUACGGGGGAACCAUGUUUUUGGGGUGAAGCCGCUCCGCGGCGGGCUGCCUUCAAGCCUAACCCGUCAGUUAACCUCGGAGGCGGAGAGGA